GCCACCGUGGACUAGCGGGAAGUCACCCUCGUUAAGUUACGGAAUACUGGAAUCAAUUUGGGGGAGACGUCGGUUCGACUCCGGCUGGUGGCG